rnacentral:rRNA from 1 species
GUGACCUCAAAUCAGGUAGGACUACCCG